rnacentral:rRNA from 1 species
CCUACGGGUGACAGCAGUGAGGAAUAUUGGUCAAUGGGCGAGAGCCUGAACCAGCCAAGUCGCGUGAGGGAGUACUGCCCUAUGGGUUGUAAACCUCUUUUGUCGGGGAGCAAAAGCCGGACGUGUCCGGCUGUGAGAGUACCCGAAGAAAAAGCAUCGGCUAACUCCGUGCCAGCAGCCGCGGUAAUACGGAGGAGGCGAGCGUUAUCCGGAUUUAUUGGGUUUAAAGGGUGCGCAGGCGGAUUUUUAAGUCAGCGGUAAAAUCGUGGGGCUCAACCCCAUCCAGCCGUUGAAACUGGGGAUCUAGAGUGUGCGAGAGGUAUGCGGAAUGCGUGGUGUAGCGGUGAAAUGCAUAGAUAUCACGCAGAACCCCGAUUGCGAAGGCAGCAUACCGGUGCACAACUGACGCUCAGGCACGAAAGCGUGGGUAUCGAACAGGAUUAGAUACCCGAGUAGUC